UACAGAGGUCUCAAGCGUUGUCCGGAUUUAUUGGGCGUAAAAGAGCUCGUAGGCGGCUUGUUGCGUCGACUGUGAAAACCUGCGGCUCAACCGUGUGGUCUGCAGUCGAUACGGGCAGGCUGGAGUCGGUAGGGGAGACUGGAAUUCCUGGUGUAGCGGUGAAAUGCGCAGAUAUCAGGAGGAACACCAGUGGCGAAAGGCGGGCUC
rnacentral:rRNA from 1 species